rnacentral:misc_RNA from 1 species
GAUGAAGAACGUAGCGAAAUGCGAUAAGUAGUGUGAAUUGCAGAAUUCAGUGAAUCAUCGAAUCUUUGAACGCACAUUGCGCCCUUUGGUAUUCCAAAGGGCAUGCCUGUUCGAGCGUCAUUUGUACCUUCAAGCUUUGCUUGGUGUUGGGCGUUUUUUGUCUCCCUCUUUCUGGGAGACUCGCCUUAAAACGAUUGGCAGCCGGCCUACUGGUUUCGGAGCGCAGCACAUAUUUUGCGCUUUGUAUCAGGAGAAAAGGACGGUAAUCCAUCAAGACUUCUACAUUUUUAACUUUUGACCUCGGAUCAGGUAGGGAUACCCGCUGAACUUAAGCAUAUCAAUAAGCGGAGGA